CAGGUACUUCCUCCGUUCGGAAUUACUUGUCGUAGAAAUGGAUGUAUCUAGAUGUAUUUAGAUACAUCCAUUUCUGAGACAAGUAAUUCCGAACGGAGGGAGUAGUAG
rnacentral:pre_miRNA from 1 species